AGUGCAGUAUCAUUCAAAAGUGGCAACUUUUGAAACGCGGCGGAUGCGAGUUCGACUCUCGCCUGCACUC
rnacentral:tRNA from 1 species